UAUUCGAGCGAUCUCGGAGCGAUUGUUUUGGCGCGAAUCCGUGCACAAUUGGUGGUUUCACAUAUGCCAAAACGAACCGCGCUAACUGGGCAAACGAGACAGGUUCCUAAACAAAAGUGUAGGUGUAAAAGCACCCUAAGUUUACCAACUAUGAAGACUUCUGCUGAGAAACACACAAAUGUGAACAGAGUCCAUGUAAUAUGAUAAUGAGCCUUGUUUCUCUGUGUCUUGGUUAGAUCUCAGUGGACUCUUCUUCUGCGCUGGAGGCCGUGGAGCUCCAGUCGUGUUUGGUUUCUCCUCUCUCAGAUCCGCAGGCUCACAGCGGCUGGCCCGUCAUUAAAGACUCCUGCCCGUCCGACAGCUCCUUCAGCCUGUCCCUCAGAGAAAGCACAGAUGAUGAUGGAGGAGCGGAUGAUGAAGAGCAGAACAGAAGAAAAUCUCAUCCGUUCUCUCGCUGGAGACACACCGAGAGUCGCAUCGCAGACGAUACCGCCAGAGGCUUUAAACACAACGCAGACGAUAUCGCCAGACGCUUUAAACACAAGAGACCGAGAGCGAGGAAAGCUGAGCGGAGGAGACGAAACGAUGAUGAAGACCGGAGUUUAAACACACUGCGCUUCAGCUUCGUCCUGCGGCCCGUCUUUAAUAACUCCAUUCAGUUCCUGCACUGCCGGCUGCGUGUGUGUGAUGCGGACGAGGGGCCGUCAGGGGCCGCAAAACACACCUGUGCUGACGGACAUCCAAUACCUGCUCUCACACACAUACGGGCUUCACAAAAGGUACUUAUGAUUACUUAA
rnacentral:lncRNA from 1 species